rnacentral:tRNA from 1 species
AGGGGAGUAGCUCAGUUGGUAGAGCACCGGUCUCCAAAACCGGGGGUCGCAGGUUCGAAUCCUGUCUCCCCUG